UGCGCACGAGUCAACAGCGUCGACUUGACUAAAACAACACGGAAUCGUCCUACCGAUCAGCUGUUUAAGAAGAAAACUGUGGAAACGAAACCUCUUCUCUUCUAGCUCCUGAACCAUCGUCAACCAGUUUGCAGAAACUUCAUCACUGAGGAAUCCACAGAGGUCGUCACCACAGCUGAGGCUGAUUACAGGAAGCAGAUUGCCUGUAGCUGCUACGGGUCAGUGUAAAAAUGCUUGGAUAAUCAGUUGCCACAAUGUGGUGCGCAUGCUACAAAAUGUAGAAAUGUAAGAACAACAGAGAUGCCUACACAGCUGAUUGACUGCUGAAUGAUUGGAAUGGUGCAGUGUGGGACUUGUCAUCGGUGGGCCCAUUUGGAAUGCGCCAAGUACACCGACGAAGAAAAUUACACCUGUCCAAAAUGCUUGUGAUUGAAUAAAUGCAGAAUAAAAAAGGAAUGUUUAAUGGCCAGCAGUGUCUUUGUGGGUCUGCCCCAAUCACAAUUCCAGCUUCCUUUACCA